AUUGAACGCUGGCGGAAUGCUUUACACAUGCAAGUCGAACGGCAGCACGGACUUCGGUCUGGUGGCGAGUGGCGAACGGGUGAGUAAUGUAUCGGAACGUGCCCAGUCGUGGGGGAUAACGUAGUGAAAAUUACGCUAAUACCGCAUACGAUCUAUGGAUGAAAGCGGGGGAUCGCAAGACCUCGCGCGAUUGGAGCGGCCGAUAUCAGAUUAGGUAGUUGGUGGGGUAAAGGCCCACCAAGCCAACGAUCUGUAGCUGGUCUGAGAGGACGACCAGCCACACUGGAACUGAGACACGGUCCAGACUCCUACGGGAGGCAGCAGUGGGGAAUUUUGGACAAUGGGCGAAAGCCUGAUCCAGCCAUUCCGCGUGCAGGAUGAAGGCCCUCGGGUUGUAAACUGCUUUUGUACAGAACGAAAAGGUUUCUACUAAUACUAGGAGCUCAUGACGGUACUGUAAGAAUAAGCACCGGCUAACUACGUGCCAGCCGCCGCCGUAA
rnacentral:rRNA from 1 species